rnacentral:rRNA from 1 species
GCAGUCGAGCGGAGAUGAGGUGCUUGCACCUUAUCUUAGCGGCGGACGGGUGAGUAAUGCUUAGGAAUCUGCCUAUUAGUGGGGGACAACAUUCCGAAAGGAAUGCUAAUACCGCAUACGUCCUACGGGAGAAAGCAGGGGAUCUUCGGACCUUGCGCUAAUAGAUGAGCCUAAGUCGGAUUAGCUAGUUGGUGGGGUAAAGGCCUACCAAGGCGACGAUCUGUAGCGGGUCUGAGAGGAUGAUCCGCCACACUGGGACUGAGACACGGCCCAGACUCCUACGGGAGGCAGCAGUGGGGAAUAUUGGACAAUGGGGGGAACCCUGAUCCAGCCAUGCCGCGUGUGUGAAGAAGGCCUUAUGGUUGUAAAGCACUUUAAGCGAGGAGGAGGCUACUGAGACUAAUACUCUUGGAUAGUGGACGUUACUCGCAGAAUAAGCACCGGCUAACUCUGUGCCAGCAGCCGCGGUAAUACAGAGGGUGCGAGCGUUAAUCGGAUUUACUGGGCGUAAAGCGUGCGUAGGCGGCUUUUUAAGUCGGAUGUGAAAUCCCCGAGCUUAACUUGGGAAUUGCAUUCGAUACUGGGAAGCUAGAGUAUGGGAGAGGAUGGUAGAAUUCCAGGUGUAGCGGUGAAAUGCGUAGAGAUCUGGAGGAAUACCGAUGGCGAAGGCAGCCAUCUGGCCUAAUACUGACGCUGAGGUACGAAAGCAUGGGGAGCAAACAGGAUUAGAUACCCUGGUAGUCCAUGCCGUAAACGAUGUCUACUAGCCGUUGGGGCCUUUGAGGCUUUAGUGGCGCAGCUAACGCGAUAAGUAGACCGCCUGGGGAGUACGGUCGCAAGACUAAAACUCAAAUGAAUUGACGGGGGCCCGCACAAGCGGUGGAGCAUGUGGUUUAAUUCGAUGCAACGCGAAGAACCUUACCUGGCCUUGACAUACUAGAAACUUUCCAGAGAUGGAUUGGUGCCUUCGGGAAUCUAGAUACAGGUGCUGCAUGGCUGUCGUCAGCUC